rnacentral:rRNA from 1 species
GGCUCAGGAUGAACGCUGGCGGCGUGCUUAACACAUGCAAGUCGAACGAUGAAGCCAGCUUGCUGGUGGAUUAGUGGCGAACGGGUGAGUAACACGUGAGUAACCUGCCCUUGACUCUGGGAUAAGCCUGGGAAACCGGGUCUAAUACUGGAUAUGACUGCCGGCCGCAUGGUCUGGUGGUGGAAAGCUUUAUUGCGGUUUUGGAUGGACUCGCGGCCUAUCAGCUUGUUGGCGGGGUAAUGGCCCACCAAGGCGACGACGGGUAGCCGGCCUGAGAGGGUGACCGGCCACACUGGGACUGAGACACGGCCCAGACUCCUACGGGAGGCAGCAGUGGGGAAUAUUGCACAAUGGGCGCAAGCCUGAUGCAGCGACGCCGCGUGAGGGAUGAAGGCCUUCGGGUUGUAAACCU